rnacentral:rRNA from 1 species
GAUGAACGCUGGCGGCGUGCCUAAUACAUGCAAGUCGAGCGAACAGACGAGGAGCUUGCUCCUCUGACGUUAGCGGCGGUCGGGUGAGUAACACGUGGAUAACCUACCUAUAAGACCGGGUUAACUUCGGGAAACCGGAGCUAAUACCGGAUAAUUUAUUGAACCGCAUGGUUCAAUAGUGAAAGACGGUUUUGCUGUCACUUAUAGAUGGAUCCGCGCCGCAUUAGCUAGUUGGUAAGGUAACGGCUUACCAAGGCAACGAUGCGUAGCCGACCUGAGAGGGUGAUCGGCCACACUGGAACUGAGACACGGUCCAGACUCCUACGGGAGGCAGCAGUAGGGAAUCUUCCGCAAUGGGCGAAAGCCUGACGGAGCAACGCCGCGUGAGUGAUGAAGGUCUUUGGAUCGUAAAACUCUGUUAUUAGGGAAGAACAAAUGUGUAAGUAACUAUGCACGUCUUGACGGUACCUAAUCAGAAAGCCACGGCUAACUACGUG